rnacentral:misc_RNA from 1 species
CGAGACGAGCUUUCUUCUUGCGAUCAAAAACACAGAUGGGCAACCACACAGUAACACAAACUAGAUAGUAGUUCCACACAAAACUAACGAUGAUAACGAUCGGAUGAUGAUGAUGGUAGCUCGAUUAGAUAGAUAGAUAACUUGGCCAUGAGGGCCCCACCGCUCAGUUCCUCCAGUUCCCGUCGGAGUUGCCGCCGCCGCGGCUGCCGUAGCCACCGCCGUAGCCGCCGCCGCCGCCACGGCCGCCACCGUAGCCGCCGCCACCGCCGUAGCCGCCUUCACGGCGCUGGCCGUAGCCACCGCCGCCGCCACCACCGUAGCCGCCGCCGCCACCGUAG